GUCGUCCCGGUCCCCACAGCCGCGCGGCCCGCCAGCGCCACCGGAGCGGGCUCCCGGACUUGGUCCCUCAGCGACCCUCUUGAGACCCCACCUGGAGUCCUGUGUGCAGUUCUGGAGCCCCCAACACAAGAAGGACAUGGAACUGUUAGAGCAAGUCCAGAGGAGGCCACUAAGAUGCUCAGAGGGCUGAUGCUGCUCUGCUAUGAGGACAGGCUACAAGAGUUGGGUCUCGGCAGCCUGGAGAAGAGAAGGCUUCGAGGAGACAUUAUAGUUGCCUUCCAGUAUCUGAAGGGGACCUACAGGAAGGCUGGGGAAGGACUAUUGACAAGACUAUUGACUUGUGAUGACAGAACAAGGAGGAAUGGGUUUAAACUGGCAGAGUGAAGAUUCAAACUGGAUGUUAGGAAAGGGUUCUUUGCAAUGAGGGUUGUGAGACACUGGCACAGGUUGCCCAAGGAGGUGUUCAGGACCAGGUUGGAUGAGGCCUUGAGCAACCUCUUCAAGUGGGAGGUGUCCCUCCCUGCCUAUGGUGGGGGAUUGGAACUGGAUGACCCUCCAGGUCCCUUCCAAGGCAAACCAGUCUAUGAUUCUGACCAGUGACCUCCCUUCUUGUCAUAGCCAUUACACAGCAGCUGACAAUUAUUGAGACAUUCAAGUGAGUUAAACCCCUGCAAUUUUCCUGGCAGCUUUUGCCAUUUCACAAGGUCAGAAAUAGGGAAGAAAACAAAUGUCAAUGUGGAAAGUAAAAUAAACAAGACUGUGUUUGGAAUGCUCUUCUGCUGGCCCAGGCAAGUUGUGAUACUUCCAACUUUAAUCCGUGACAUUGAUUGAGAUGUGACUGCCUGGUUAUAAAAAGGUCUGGAGAGGAAAGAAUGAGGUGUUGAGAGCAGCAAGCUAAAAUGCAUCCCUUUAAAAGGAACAAAGUCAAGGACCACUGCCUGGCAGAUGGAAGGACACCAUCCACUGCAAUACAAGAGAAGCCUGCAAAGGGAGAGUUGGUCAGCAGGAAGUGGAUGUGAAUGGCAAGACAGCUGACUUUGACUCCAUAGCCUUCUCCACCUCCCUGCACUAAAGAUGGUUACAGGAAGCUUGGCAGCAGCAUCCCUGUGUUGCAGGAAGGAAUUGCUGGCUCCAGGCUGCUCCAGGAUUGCCUCGCAGGGGCUCAGGAGCCACGAUCAGCCCCUUGGGAAGAGAAAAUCCUCCUUUGGAAGCUGACCCUAAGGGUGGUAGCCGAGCUGGCAACGGGAGCAGCAGCAACGGCAGCAGCAGCAGCCCAGCUCCCACCCGGAGCUGCGCCAGGCAGCGAACCUUGCAGGAUGCUCCCGGUGUUAGUCACAGGACUGUUUCGAUCCCUCUCUUGCAAGAAAAUUGCUUCAACAGCCCAGAUAGGACCCAUGAGCCUUUGGAGAGCUGGCACUGAUCAUCAGAGGAGCGAGAGCUGCUCACUGAGCUGCAGUGGACACCAACUCCCAACCUGUUGGGCAGCAUGAGGAGGACCUUACCAGCCCUCUCUUACUCUGCACAGGUGCAGGGGCUGGCCGGGACAGGCCGCCGAGUGCCCGCCGGGAGGGACAGCCGCCGGGAAGGGACAGCCG